CAGGGCUUAGCUAAACAGAUAUAGCAUCUCCCUUACACUGAGAAGUCACCCGUGCAAAUCGGGUCGCUCUGA
rnacentral:tRNA from 1 species